CAACCCGUCAAGCUCUGCUUGGUAGUUGGGCCCCGCCCGCUCGCGGCCGGCCCUAAAGACAGUGGCGGCGGCGUCUGGCUCCAAGCGUAGUACAGCUCUCGCUCUGGGGCUAGGCGGUAACGCCUGCCAGAACCCCCUUCUAUGG
rnacentral:misc_RNA from 1 species